rnacentral:rRNA from 1 species
UACGUAGGGAGCAAGCGUUAUCCGGAUUUAUUGGGUGUAAAGGGUGCGUAGACGGGAAGGCAAGUUGGUUGUGAAAUCCCUCGGCUUAACUGAGGAACUGCAACCAAAACUAUCUUUCUUGAGUGCUGGAGAGGAAAGUGGAAUUCCUAGUGUAGCGGUGAAAUGCGUAGAUAUUAGGAGGAACACCAGUGGCGAAGGCGACUUUCUGGACAGUAACUGACGUUGAGGCACGAAAGUGUGGGGAUCAAACAGG